UACAGGGGGGGCAAGCGUUGUUCGGAAUUACUGGGCGUAAAGGGCCAGUAGGCGGCCAACUAAGUCCGACGUGAAAUCCCCAAGCUUAACUUGGGAACUGCGUCGAAUACUGGAUGGCUUGAAUUCGGGAGAGGGAUGCAGAAUUCCAGGUGUAGCGGUGAAAUGCGUAGAUAUCUGGAGGAAUACCGGUGGCGAAGGCGGCAUCCUGGACCGAUAUUGACGCUGAACGGCGAAAGCUAGGGGAGCAAACGGG
rnacentral:rRNA from 1 species